CCUACGGGAGGCAGCAGUGGGGAAUAUUGGACAAUGGGGGGAACCCUGAUCCAGCCAUGCCGCGUGUGUGAAGAAGGCCCUCGGGUUGUAAAGCACUUUCAGUGAGGAAGAACGCCUGGUGGUUAAUACCCAUCAGGAAAGACAUCACUCACAGAAGAAGCACCGGCUAACUCCGUGCCAGCAGCCGCGGUAAUACGGAGGGUGCGAGCGUUAAUCGGAAUUACUGGGCGUAAAGCGCGCGUAGGUGGCUUGAUAAGCCGGUUGUGAAAGCCCCGGGCUCAACCUGGGAACGGCAUCCGGAACUGUCAAGCUAGAGUGCAGGAGAGGAAGGUAGAAUUCCCGGUGUAGCGGUGAAAUGCGUAGAGAUCGGGAGGAAUACCAGUGGCGAAGGCGGCCUUCUGGACUGACACUGACACUGAGGUGCGAAAGCGUGGGUAGCAAACAGGAUUAGAUACCCGUGAAGUC
rnacentral:rRNA from 1 species